UGCACGGUGGCGUAGUGGUUAGCACGUUCGUCUCACACCUUCAGGGUCGGGGGGUUCGAUUCCCAAACGUGUGU